GACGAACGCUGGCGGCGUGCCUAAUACAUGCAAGUCGAACGCUUCCUACCGGUGCUUGCACCGGGAAAGAAGAGUGGCGGACGGGUGAGUAACACGUGGGUAACCUACCUACAAGCGGGGGAUAACACUCGGAAACGGAUGCUAAUACCGCAUAGAUCUCUUUGUCUCCUGACAGAAAGAAGAAAGACGGUUUCGGCUGUCCCUUGUAGAUGGACCCGCGGCGCAUUAGUUGGUUGGUGAGGUAAUGGCUCACCAGGACGAUGAUGCGUAGCCGACCUGAGAGGGUGAUCGGCCACACUGGGACUGAGACACGGCCCAGACUCCUACGGGAGGCAGCAGUAGGGAAUCUUCCGCAAUGGACGAAAGUCUGACGGAGCAACGCCGCGUGAGUGAAGAAGGUUUUCGGAUCGUAAAACUCUGUUGUUAGAGAAGAACAAGGAUGAGAGUAACUGCUCGUCCCUUGACGGUAUCUAACCAGAAAGCCAUGGCUAACUACGUGCCAGCAGCCGCAGUAA
rnacentral:rRNA from 1 species